CACCUCUCUCUCUCUCUUCCUCAAUCCUCUCAAUACAUUUUUAUAUCUCCAAAUUUUAAAACUAAAUCUUGAUAAUAAACAUAUAUAUAGAGGUUUGAUACUAUUUUUCAUUAUUUUUAUGUAUCAUGAAGGGUAUUAGGUAUCAGCUGAAGAAGAGAGAGAUACGAAAGACAUUAGAUGAACAUGUAUCUAAUUAAGCGUUCAUAUAUCUGAGUUACGAUUAUAAAUAUUUUAUGAGAAAUCAAUAUUUGUUUGGCCGAUGAGCGGUGGCAAGGGUUCUGGAUUUUUCAAGAUGAAUACUUCGAUUUUGAUGAUUCAUUGAAAGAAGAAUUCAGCUAUCCAGAAAAUGGCACUAUCAAGAUUGAGGCUUCAUCAUCAUUAUCAUCCCCUACACCAUCUGAGGAAUCAUCAUCUUCGCCUGAGUCUGAUAUUACUUUCUUGGAUUUCGCUGAACCAUCUUUCGAUGAAUCAGAAAACUUCUUCUUACCCAAGUACCCUUCCGUGGAGAUUGAUUGGGCAGCUCUUUGAUACUUUGUUGUAGUAUUACUUUGUUUUUUUUUGUUUUUAUAAAAAAUAUAUCAUGUAUGGUGUCAGGUAUGGCCUCCUGCAAUGGUGUUUUUGACAUUUGCAGAGGUUGGUGUAGUAGUGAAUAGAGUCAUGUAGAGAGUCAUGUAAUAGUAAAGGUCACUCACUCUCCAUCUUGUUCAUGCUGUGGUUUUUGUAUAUGCAUUGAACCAAAAGGGAGAGACUUUGUAUCAUGUAUGUGUCUUGUUCAUUUCUUAGCUUAAUAUAAUCAUAUCUAAUGUUUUAGUAUGUA